rnacentral:rRNA from 1 species
AUUGAACGCUGGCGGCAGGCCUAACACAUGCAAGUCGAGCGGAGCGGCGGACGGGUGAGUAAUGCCUAGGAAUCUGCCUGGUAGUGGGGGAUAACGUCCGGAAACGGGCGCUCAUAACGCAUACUAUCUGAUGAGCCUAGGUGGGAUUAGCUAGUUGGUGGGGUAAAGGCCUACCAAGGCGACGAUCCGUAAGUGGUAGGAGAGGAUGAUCAGUCACACUGGAACAGGGUGCCGGUCCAGACUCUUACGUGAGGCGUGAGUGGGGAAUAUUGGACAAUGGGCGAAAGCCUGAUCCAGCCAUGCGGCGUGUGUGAAGAAGGUCUGCGGAUUUUAGAGCACUUUAAGUUGGGAGACGUUACCAACAGAAUAAGCAACGGCUAACUUCGUGCCAGCAGCCGCGGUAAUAC